rnacentral:rRNA from 1 species
GACGAACGCUGGCGGCGUGCUUAACACAUGCAAGUCGAACGGAAAGGCCCUGCUUUUGUGGGGUGCUCGAGUGGCGAACGGGUGAGUAACACGUGAGUAUCCUGCCCUUGACUUUGGGAUAACUUCAGGAAACUGGGGCUAAUACCGGUUAUGAGCUCCUGCUGCAUGGUGGGGGUUGGAAAGUUUCGGCGGUUGGGGAUGGACUCGCGGCUUAUCAGCUUGUUGGUGGGGUAGUGGCUUACCAAGGCUUUGACGGGUAGCCGGCCUGAGAGGGUGACCGGCCACAUUGGGACUGAGAUACGGCCCAGACUCCUACGGGAGGCAGCAGUGGGGAAUAUUGCACAAUGGGCGGAAGCCUGAUGCAGCAACGCCGCGUGCGGGAUGACGGCCUUCGGGUUGUAAACCGCUUUCGCCUGUGACGAAGCGUGAGUGACGGUAAUGGGUAAAGAAGCACCGGCUAACUACGUG